UACGUAGGCAGCAAGCGUUGUUCGGAGUUACUGGGCGUAAAGAGUGCGUAGGCGGUUUCGUAAGUUUGGUGUGAAAUCUCCCGGCUUAACUGGGAGGGUGCGCCGAAAACUGCGGGGCUGGAGUGUGGGAGAGGUAAGCGGAAUCCUGGUGUAGCGGUGAAAUGCGUAGAUAUCAGGAGGAACACCGGCGGUGUAGACGGCUUACUGGACCAUGACUGACGCUGAGGCACGAAAGCGUGGGUAGCAAACAGG
rnacentral:rRNA from 1 species